GACGAACGCUGGCGGCGUGCUUAACACAUGCAAGUCGAACGGAAAGGCCCUUCGGGGUCCUCGAGUGGCGAACGGGUGAGUAACACGUGGGUGAUCUGCCCUGCACUUUGGGAUAAGCCUGGGAAACUGGGUCUAAUACCGAAUAGGACCACGCGCUUCAUGGUGUGUGGUGGAAAGCUUUUGCGGUGUGGGAUGGGCCCGCGGCCUAUCAGCUUGUUGGUGGGGUAAUGGCCUACCAAGGCGACGACGGGUAGCCGGCCUGAGAGGGUGACCGGCCACACUGGGACUGAGAUACGGCCCAGACUCCUACGGGAGGCAGCAGGGGGGAAUAUUGCACAAUGGGCGCAAGCCUGAUGCAGCGACGCCGCGUGAGGGAGGACGGCCUUCGGGUUGUAAACCUCUUUCAAUAGGGACGAAGCGCAAGGGACGGUACCUAUAGAAGAAGCACCGGCCAACUACGU
rnacentral:rRNA from 1 species